CUUCUAGUUUGAUCAAGGCUCGGGAUCAAGCUCGGCGGCGUGCCUGACGCAUGCCUUGCGAAUGGGGUUAUGCCGAAUGCAUACUUCGGUGCAAACGAGGCAUUACUUGUUGCCUGACGGAUGAUUAACUCCUGUGGAACCUGCCCUGGACCGGGGGAUAGCAAUUGGAAACGACUGAUAAUGCCGUGUCUACCCACUGAAUCACCUGAUUUUGCUUGAAAAACUCUCGCGGUUCACGAUGGACCCGCGUAAGAUUACCCGCCUGGUGGGUUAACGGCCCACCAAACCGACGAUCAGAGGCCGGCCUGAGAGGGCGAACGGCCACAUUGGGACUGAGACACGGCCCAAACUCCUACGGGAGGCAGCUGUGGGGGAUAUUGCACAAUGGGCGAAAGCCUGAUGCACCGACACCCCGUGAGUGAAGAAAUAUUUCGGGAUGUAAAGUUCUAUCAACAGGGAAGAAAGGCCCCGCAAGGCGAGAUGACGGCACCUGACUAAGAAGUCCCGGCUAACUCCGUGCCCCUGACCACCGUAAUACGUAGGGGGCAAGCGUUAUCCGGAUUUACUGGGUGUCAAGAGGGCGCAGACGGAAGUGCAAGUCUGAUGUGAAAGCCCGACGCUCUCUCCUCGGGACUGCAUUGGAAACUGUAUUUCUUGAGUACAGGAGGGGUAAGCGGAAUUCCUGGUGUAGUUGGUGAAAUGCGUAGAUAUCAGGAGGAACACCGGCGGCGAGGGCGGCUUACUGGACUGUAACUGACGUUGAGGCCCGAAAGCGUGGGGAGCAAACAGGAUUAGAUACCCUGGUAGUCCACGCGGUAAACGAUGAAUACUAGGUGUAGGCAUGCAGAGCAUGUCUGUGCCGCAGCUAACGCAUUAAGUAUUCCACCUGGGGAGUACGUUCGCAAGAAUGAAACUCAAAGGAAUUGACGGGGACCCGCACAAGCGCUGGAGCAUGUGGUUUAAUUCGAAGCAACGCGAAGAACCUUACCAGACCUUGACAUCCCGAUGACCGGUUCUUAAUCGAACCUUCCCUUCGGGGCGAUUGAGAGACAGGUGGUGCCAGUGGUUGUCGUCAGCUCGUGUCGUGAGAUGUUGGGUCAAGUCCCGCAACGAGCGCAACCCUUGUCCGUAUUAGCCAGCAUUCAGGAUGGGAACUUUACGGAGACUGCCGGGGAUAACCCGGAGGAAGGUGGGGAUGACGUCAAAUCAUCAUGCCCCUUACGGUCUGGGCGACACACGUGCUACAAUGGCGUAACAAAGGGAAGCGAGCCCGCGAGGGGGAGCAAACCCCAAAAAUAACGUCCCAGUUCGGACUGUAGUCUGCAACCCGACUACACGAAGCCGGAAUCGCUAGUAAUCGCGGAUCAGAAUGCCGCGGUGAAU
rnacentral:rRNA from 1 species